GGAGGGCUGCAUCUAAGUAGCAGAGUGUCUGCUUUGCAUGCAGAAGGUCCCAGGUUUGAUCCCUGGCAUCUCCA